rnacentral:misc_RNA from 1 species
UUUUACAAUGAAAAAUUAAAUAAACAUAAUUCAUAAGUUGAAUCUUACUUGAUUUCCAUGAUCGCAUCAUUCUCUUCUGGUUGGAUAAAACUCAACUUGAGUUUAUAGUGUUGAGAAAUCAAGAACCGAAUUCGAAAAACAAGAAAUUCUACCAUCUUCUUGGAUUGUAGUAAUAAGCUUGAAAUCUUCGACAAAACAAAAAAAAAAGUUAUAAGCUUGAAAUAAAGAACUCCAUCUUUUCCUUGACAUUCUUGAAAAUAUUUGAACAUAGAAAUCAAUCACAAUGUUUUAGACGCAUUCUUUGUCAAGGUUUAUGCAUGAGGUGGGUAGCAGGAUAAAGAAGGCAAUGACAUCCAAAAUGGCAGCAACAACUAAUUAUAUCAAGAUUUUAUGUGCCCUGGAAUAGGAUUGAGUCUUGGGUCGUUAAACAAGGAAGUCUACUUCAACGUUGGAUAGGUUUUAUGGGCCUUUCAAGGUACUUUGUAAAGUUGGAAGGCUGCUUAUCAAUUAGAAUGGCCUCUAAAUGGUAAAAUUCAUAGUGUAUUCCACAUCUCUCUGCUCAAAGCAUUCAAAGUUUCACCUCCUACAACUAUUCUGUCCUUACCACCUACUGAAGAAGGUUGAGCAAUUUUUGUCUAACGCCAUCCUUCAUUCACGUCUCAAUUGUGGCCUAUGGGAAGUUUCAAUUAGAAUGUAAUGCCUCAAACCGAUGCUAUUUGGGAAUCAGUUCAUAGCUUACAAGCUGCUUAUCUAGGUUUCGAGCUUGAGGACAAGCUCUUUAUCUAGGAGGGGAGUUAUGCUAGAGAAGCAUUCAUUGGCAAGGCUUAUGCAAGACGUGGGCAGU